rnacentral:tRNA from 1 species
UAGCUCAGCGGCAGAGCACUUGCCUUGCAUGCAUGAGGCCCUGGGUUUGAUACCCUG